UUCCCAGAUAACUCUUCUAAGUAGCAGGCAUCGCAGUGCUGAGCCUGAGCCUCUGGCAUCAUGACAACAUUGUAGUGCUGUGUUUCUCUUUCAGACUUUUCAUUUGGAGAUUGGGAUGGCAUCCAAUAAUAAUCUUACAACUGCAAAGCUGGAAAGGAUCCUGUGUCCGGCCCCUGCCAAGGAGGACCCGUGAGGAAUUGAACCCCCAACCGCUGGCUUAGGCCAGAUGCCUAAGCCCCUGAGCUAUCCAGCAGUCCGUGUGUAUCAGCAUUUUGCAGAUGGAAUGGAGCAAUGAUAAGGGGAGCUGUCUGGCGAUGCCAAGGGAAAGGCUGAAGCAAGCUGCACUGCUGGAUACAGUCUGGCAAACAGACUGCUGUGCACCAAAAAUAAGAAGAAAAAGCUGGUGGGGAAUUCAUUGGAUUUCAGAGAGACGAGCCUCCGAGGACAUUGACUUCUGGAAUUUACCAGCAUACAGAACUCAUAUCAGAAGAUCUUUAGAUACAACCAUCCGCUGGCUGCUGAAGCACCUUUAGCAGAUUAGACAGGAGCCCCACCAUCAUCUCCCAUCACCAUAUGACAAAAAAAGAAGAUGAAACAAGGAAGAACAAAUGCCGUCCCUGGGAGAUGCCACGGAGCCUGGUUACACUUCACUUUAACUCGGCAAUACGCUGUGUUCUAAAUGAAAUCGGUUUAUAAUCAUGGGACAGUCACGUGGUAUUUGAAUUGCUCCCUGAGUUUCAUUUAGAAGGUAGUAUAUUGUCAUAUAAAUGAGAAGUGUGGUGCUGAAUCUCCCGGCUGGAAGGUGGCCCUCCUUCCAAUCACUGCAACAACCGGCUAAGUGCCUAGCAGAAGCCGUCUUCAGGCAGCAUGCGAGAUGCCCAUCAGAUGGUUUGCAAGGUGGCUGGAAGUGACACACCCAAUCCCACUAGCAAAACACCCCCUAUUUGAAUGAAACAUGGGGGGGACGUGAUUCAAUGGCAGAGGAAACAGCAACGUUGAGAGCAAUGAGGGCGAGCAUGUUGGGAUCCUCUCCCCAGCGACAUCUGGCUGCCCCAUCUCCUCUUCCUAGCAUGGGGCUUCUUCCCUGAGGCUAGCCUGUUGUUGGAGGGACUGGGGAGGGGGGCACCUCCCAGUUGGGGGAUUC
rnacentral:lncRNA from 1 species